ensembl:lncRNA
CUUUUCACCAAGCUCUUCACUCUUCACAUUUCAUUUUCUCAGCGUUAGUUAUAUUGUGGCAAUAGGCCUCAUUUUGAUUUCAACUACCACAGUGUCUGAAUGUCAGGAAAACUAACGCCACAAACCAUGCAUCUUGGUCUCCUACCAUCACAUGAGAGGAAACCUGGAUGAUUUGUCUAAGCAGCUGCUGAGGAGGACAUUCUUCCGUGCUUGUCGGUAGGAUGUUCCCCAGCCAAGUGCUCAUCCCUCAUGGUGUGGGCAUCCCCUGUAUCACACACUGGGGAAUGAAGGAGCCUCAGCAGUCCCGCAUCUACCCCAAAGCCUUUCCAGAGACAUAUCCAGAGCACUGAUAAUUUAUCACAAUGGAUAUCUUUAGAGAAGAAAACUUUUGUCCAACAUUAGUGAUUUAGAACAACCCUGACACAGUUCAUAUACAUAUCCACUGUCCAUUAAUCUUUUUGUUUCACUUUUUCUGUCAUGUAUACUAUCCAGAGCUGCUGCAAAUUACAGGUAGUAUGUCCAGCAUUUUUUCCCUUGAUUUUUUCUUUUUAUGUUCAUGAUGAUAGUGUGAAGCAAUUUAUAAUGAAAAUAUGUAGCAAAAGAAAAACUUAAAGGACGUUUUUAUGGAACAUGUCAAAAACUUCACAGUUUAACCUGGAUAGCAGUAACCGUGAAGUCAUUGCCAUACCCAUGGCAUAUUUUAGUGGUCUGUCUACAGAAUAGUUAAGGGAAAAGGAUUUUAUUUUAGCUUCCCACUUUUCAAGAAACAGCGGAAAUAAGAAAUAAAAAUCUGAGCUUUGGAGAGUACCAUUAUGAUCACCUCCCUGUAAACAUAACAGCAAUU